CAGCGUGAGGGGGGCAUGAACAUUGUUCCCAGUUGCAUUUCUACAUGUUGAUUACACAUUAAUAUCCUACAGCACUCGAUGAACGUUGGACCGGUAACUCAAAACUCACCGGAGCGGAUCUGAAUUAGCACUGCUCUGAUGAACCAUUGAGGGUCUGGUGAGUUUCGGUGUCGUCAGAUGGGUUAAUGAGUUACCCCUACCGACGUUGAUAACGGCGCAUACAGCUGAUAGCCUCUAAGCCUUCCUGCUGUAAAAUCAAGCCGGGCAACUUGAAUCUUUCUGGAGUCUGAGGCAUUUCUGACAGAACCUCCGAGAACCCGGGCAGCGUGUUUCUAUCCAAACCCGUCUCAGCGAGGCCGUUAAAUGCUUCCAGCGGCGUCCGCCUCCAUUUUUAACUAGGCCAAUAAAAGACGUCGAUUAGGCUGGAA